rnacentral:lncRNA from 1 species
ACUUGGUAUUGGUUUGAGAUUUAGAUCCUUGAUUAUGAGAUCACAAUUAUAUAACUUUUAGACAAAAAUAUAUAUUGGCUUCAUAAGUGUUUGUGGGCUAAGCAAUUUUGCUUUAUCUGGUUCAACAUUGAGCGUGCCAUCUAGUGGGCUAAUGUUAUUAGGCAUACCGAGUUGUUCGCUUAUUGUUACUGAGAUAGAGCUGUACAGAAUGAUAAGUCUACCACUCUAUUAUUGAUGAUCAUCGCGCGCCCACAACCAAUGAUUUAAGAAGCGCUAGGCGCCAAAAGGCGCCAAGGUCCAAAAACGCCCGAGGCGCUAGGCGCUCGCCCGAGCGAAGCGAGGCGCUAAAAUAUAAAAAUAUAUAAUAUAAUUAAUAAAUAUAAUUAUUUAAAAUUUUAAAUAAAAAUAUGCUAUUUUAAAUAAAAAUUCUAGUCGCGAGCAGAGGGAAGGCUCACGGGAGGGCUCGCGGGAGCCGCGAGCAGCUGGGAGGGCUCGCUGGAGGCGCGAGCAGGGAGUCGCGAGCAGAGGGAAGGCUCGCGGGAGGGCUCACGGGAGGCGCGAGCAGCGAGAGUCGCGAGCAGUGGGAAGGCUCGUGAGAGGGCUCGCGGGAGGCGCGAGCAGCGGGAGGGCUCGCGGGAGUCGCGAGCAGCGGGAGGGCUCGCGGGAGGCGCGAGCAGUUGGAGAGCUCGCGGGAGGCGCGAGCAGCGGCAGCGGGAGCAGGAGCGACGAGCAGCGAGAUCGGGAGCGGCAGCGGCAGCGGGUUAGGGUUGGGUAAGGGUUAUAUCGGUUUAGUUGGUUCGAUUGAACCAACUAACAACCGAACCAGGACCGAACCAGACCUAAAAUCCUGGUUUGGUCACUUGGUUUACCUAGGCGCUCGCCCGAAGCGCCCAGNNNNNNNNNNNNNNNNNNNNUCGGGAGCGGCAGCGGCAGCGGGUUAGGGUUGGGUAAGGGUUAUAUCGGUUUAGUUGGUUCGAUUGAACCAACUAACAACCGAACCAGGACCGAACCAGACCUAAAAUCCUGGUUUGGUCACUUGGUUUACCUAGGCGCUCGCCCGAAGCGCCCAGCGCCUGGGCUUGGGCGAGCGCCCAGGCGGCGCCUGUUUGAAGCGCGCCGCCUGGGACAUUAGCGAGGCGCUCGGGCGAGGUGAGCGCCCGAGCGCCUCUUUCAAUCACU